CCUACGGGAGGCAGCAGUGAGGAAUAUUGGUCAAUGGACGAGAGUCUGACCCAGCCAAGUCGCGUGAAGGAUGACUGCCCUAUGGUUUGUAACUUCUUUUAUAUGGGAAUAAAACAGGGUAUGCAUACCCUCUUGUAUGUACCAUAUGAAUAAGGAUCGGCUAACUCCGUGCCAGCAGCCGCGGUAAUACGGAGGAUGCGAGCGUUAUCCGGAUUUAGUGGGUUUAAAGGGAGCGUAGGUGGAUUGUUAAGUCAGUUGUGAAAGUGUGCGGCGCAACCGUAAAAUUGCAGUUGAAACUGGCAGUCUUGAGUACAGUAGAGGUGGGCGGAAUUCGUGGUGUAGCGGUGAAAUGCUUAGAUAUCACGAAGAACUCCGAUGGCGAAGGCAGCUCACUGGACUGCAACUGACACUGAUGCUCGAAAGUGUGGGUAUCAAACAGGAUUAGAUACCCCUGUAGUC
rnacentral:rRNA from 1 species